ACGGGGAGCCAGCAGUGGGGAAUUUUCCCCAAUGGGCGAAACCCUGAGGGACAAAUACCGCGGGAGGGAGGACGCCCUAUGGGUUGUAACCCUCUUUUUUCAGGGAGGAAUAAAUGACGUGUACCUGAAGAAUAAGCAUCGGCUAACUCCGUGCCAGCAGCCGCGGUAAGACGGAGGAUGCAAGUGUUAUCCGGAAUCACUGGGCGUAAAGCGUCUGUAGGUGGUUUAAUAAGUCAACUGUUAAAUCUUGAGGCUCAACCUCAAAAUCGCAGUCGAAACUAUUAGACUAGAGUAUAGUAGGGGUAAAGGGAAUUUCCAGUGGAGCGGUGAAAUGCGUAGAGAUUGGAAAGAACACCGAUGGCGAAGGCACUUUACUGGGCUAUUACUAACACUCAGAGACGAAAGCUAGGGUAGCAAAUGGGAUUAGAUACCCCAGUAGUCCUAGCCGUCAACAAUGGAUACUAGAUGUUGAACAGAUCGACCU
rnacentral:rRNA from 1 species